rnacentral:pre_miRNA from 1 species
CUCAGUAGCCAGUGUAGAUCCUGUCUUUAGUAAUCAGCAGCUACAUCUGGCUACUGGGUCUC